GGAUGUUCUUUUCUCCCCGGUGGCGGGGAGAGCAGGGAGGUGUUAGUGGAGACCGGGAGCAGAUCCUGGCUGCAGACAAGCAGCAAAAUGGCCGAAGGUGAAGAGCAACCACAGUGACAGUGAGAAUAUAUCUUGGUAAUUUAAUAUUCACACAUAGUGAAGUUGGAAACCAUGGAUGAUGCAGUGGAGAAGUUGGUAAACUACACCUGCAAUGCAUAUCAUCUGAAUGGAGAGGUUCGGUCUACAUUUGAUGAAGUUGCAAUUUACUUCUCCAAGGAGGAGUGGGACUGCUUAAA